GAGGGUAUAGCUUGGUGGUAGAGUGCUUGCUUAGCAUGCACAAGGUCCUGGGUUCAACUCCCAGUACCUCUG
rnacentral:tRNA from 1 species